GCUCUGCACUCAGCAUGCAAAGAAGUUAGAAGUGGGGGAAGGAGGGGUAACCACACAUAUAAGAGGAGAGAGAGGAAAAAACUGCAGAUCAAUCAUUUAUAAUUAACAAAAAUCCGAUUGGUGCUUUAAAUAGAGAUCAAUGUGUUCCAGGCUGCCUGGAUUGUGGGGAUGUAUUCACCUUCUCGUAACUCUCCAAGCAAGCUGUCACACCUACAGAAUCACCAUUUGUUUUCUUAACAAAGCUUCAGGGGGCGCCAGGCUCUCAUUGAAAUUUCAUUAAUCUAAUGGAGUAAAGUCCUAUAGAAAAAAAUCAAAUUCUCGUUGGACGAGAUGCUACCUGGGAAAGAUAACCUCUGUUUGAACUCUCAGACUCGGAUCGCUCUGCUAUUAGUCUGAGGAAACAGACAGCAACAACGCUGAUUACAGCCACCGGCCUCAACAAUUUUUUUUUCUAACUAGCAAUUUCGAGUGCAAGUGCCACAGUGUCAGCUAAAGAAACACAACUGCGGGUUUUCUGCAGAGUGAAAUGGUUCUGAAAUGUCACUGAAUAGCUCACAAAGGACGCCAAUCUACGACAACAGAGACAUAAGCAUAUAGGAGAAAGGGCCCACACAUCCUCCUUUCAAAGUGUGGAGAAAAGAGAGAGAAAGGGAGAGAGGAGUCAUGGACCCUACUUUAUGGUUGCCAUGGAUGCAAGGUCAGCCUUCCACACUUGGAUCUACCAGCAGAGUUCAGACAGGUCAACGUGUGACCGGCUCAGGCCCUGGGGUUAAAAGUUCAAGCAGCGAUGGAAAAACCAAUAUGUCCACGCAGAGUAUGCUCUACAAUUUAUUUCAAUUUACAUCAAGCCAUGCAUAUAAAAUUUAGAUAAAUUCCAUUCAAAUCUGAUGUUGCCUGACACACAAUGUAUGCAAACAGAUGUCUGUGGGGCUUUUUCUGUGCUUUAGAAAACAACAUUAAAUUUAAAAAUAUGUCUCUGGAAUUUCUUUAUUGAAUUACAAAAUGAACAUAAUUUUAACUUAAAUGUUUUCAUUCUUUCUUCCAAUUUUUUUUUUGUGGGGGUCUUAAUAAUUUCUCAGUUCUCAAUCUACUCUAUGUCAUAUUAAAGAGGAUAAUGUAUAUUUACAA